GGGGUUGUAGCUCAGUGCUAGAGCACUCAGUACUAGAAUAUAUGCCUAGUAUAUACGAGGCCCUGGGUUCAAUCCCCAGGACCAUCA
rnacentral:tRNA from 1 species